AUAGUAACGGGUGAUUUUUUUUGAGGUUAGGAUUUUCAUGCAUUAGUAUUUGACAGAUCACGUGGGAUUUCAGACAUGGUGUCAAAGAGAAAGAUGCUCAGUAUGCUUUGACAUUUCAUCAUGAAUAGACUUACAUACUAACGAGCAACGCUUGCAAAUCAUUGAAUUUUAUUACCAAAAUCAGUGUUCGGUUCGAAAUGUGUUUCGCGCGCGUGUUUUGUUCAGCGAUGAGGCUCAUUUCUGGUUGAAUGGCUACGUAAAUAAGCAAAAUUGCCGCAUUUGGGGUGAAGAGCAACCAGAAGCCGUUCAAGAACUGCCCAUGCAUCCCGAAAAAUGCACUGUUUGGUGUGGUUUGUACGCUGGUGGAAUCAUUGGACCGUAUUUUUUCAAAGAUGCUGUUGCAACGUUACGGUGAAUGGCGAUCGCUAUCGUUCGAUGCUAACAAACUUUUUGUUGCCAAAAAUGGAAGAACUGAACUUGGUUGACAUGUGGUUUCAACAAGAUGGCGCUACAUGCCACACAGCUCGCGAUUCUAUGGCCAUUUUGAGGGAAAACUUCGGACAACAAUUCAUCUCAAGAAAUGGACCCGUAAGUUGGCCACCAAGAUCAUGCGAUUUAACGCCUUUAGACUAUUUUUUGUGGGGCUACGUCAAGUCUAAAGUCUACAGAAAUAAGCCAGCAACUAUUCCAGCUUUGGAAGACAACAUUUCCGAAGAAAUUCGGGCUAUUCCGGCCGAAAUGCUCGAAAAAUUGCCCAAAAUUAGACUUUCCGAAUGGACCACCUAAGACGCAGCCGCGGUCAACAUUUAAAUGAAAUUAUCUUCAAAAAGUAAAUGUCAUGAACCAAUCUAACGUUUCAAAUAAAGAACCGAUGAGAUUUUGCAAAUUUUAUGCGUUUUUUUUUUUUUAAAAAGUUAUCAAGCUCUUAAAAAAUCACCCUUUAU